AGGUGACCAGGUGUGAAUAAGCUGUCAGGUAAUUACAGGUGCGGUUUUAGGCAUGAUCCUGCUCCUGAACCUAAGUAAAUACAUUAACGCCAGUGAACACCUGUUAGUGAGCAAAGUUCCUUUUUGUUAUCUGUUGUUUGAGCUGGUGUUUUUAUUCUUUAUCGUCCAGAUCUUGACACAUCACUGGAUAUCUAAACAAUGGUUGAAUGUAGGGAGGAAAGUCUUGUGAAGAGUAGCCGUCAUCUUCAUAAUUGCACCUUGAUCACUUUUUGAAGCUUGUUAUGACAGGUUGUCUUGUUUUCUGAGUAAAAGGUUUACUUUUUUUAAUUUGGAUUUCCGUCACAUCACAGAGAUUUCACCACUGUAUUCACUCCAAAUUAAUCUCUUCUGAGUACCAGAGGAGGACUCACCAUGUGGCUAAAAGGUUUUAUAAGUAACCAUGUCAACAUGAAACUUCUGAAGACCUGUGUCAUCCUUCUCCUUCUGACUGUGUUGUUCUUUACACUAAGAAACAUGGACCUGCUGCAGCUCAAGUCACUCUUCUCUCCGGUGAUGACUCUCCUGUGUUUGUCGAGCCUACUGAUCUGGUACUUACUGGACAGGGAUAUCUUACAGUGAAAGACGACAGUGACAGUGAAAGAGAAGCAGGCAAGAGUGAAACAUUGACUGGAUCCAUAAUCAAAGGACUAGCUUUUUACCUGGAACAUGAAGAGCUCAAGUCACUCUCUCUCCGGUGAUGACUCUCCUGUGUUUGUCGAGCCUACUGAUCUGGUACUUACUGGAAAGUGAUGUGGACCAGCACUUACCCGCCCCUCAGAUGAAAAGAGCCCCAAGA